rnacentral:rRNA from 1 species
UACGGAGGGGGCUAGCGUUGUUCGGAAUUACUGGGCGUAAAGCGCGCGUAGGCGGACCUGCAAGUCGGGGGGUGAAAGCCCGAGGCUCAACCUCGGAACUGCCUUCGAUACUGCGGGUCUCGAGUCCGGGAGAGGUGAGUGGAACUGCGAGUGUAGAGGUGAAAUUCGUAGAUAUUCGCAAGAACACCAGUGGCGAAGGCGGCUCACUGGCCCGGUACUGACGCUGAGGUGCGAAAGCGUGGGGAGCAAACAGG